rnacentral:rRNA from 1 species
UGGGGAAUAUUGGGCAAUGGGCGCAAGCCUGACCCAGCAACGCCGCGUGAGGGAAGAAGGCCUUCGGGUUGUAAACCUCUGUCCUUAGUGACGAAAAAAAUGACGGUAGCCAAGGAGGAAGCCCCGGCUAACUACGUGCCAGCAGCCGCGGUAAUACGUAGGGGGCGAGCGUUGUCCGGAAUUACUGGGCGUAAAGGGUGCGUAGGUGGCCUUUUAAGUUGGAUGUGAAAUACCCGGGCUUAACUUGGGGGGUGCAGCUAAGACUGGAGGGCUAGAGUGCAGGGGAGGGAAGCGGAAUUCCUAGUGUAGCGGUGAAAUGCGUAGAUAUUAGGAGGAACACCAGUGGCGAAGGCGGCUUUCUGGACUGUAACUGACACUGAGGCACGAAAGCGUGGGGAGCAAACA